AGUGUGUUCCUGAGAUCGCAAGAAACUGAUCUGGACGGUGCAAGGGAAAAAAAUCCACCCACCACCUCCUCCCCUAAUCUCCCCCGAUCCCGCAUCUCCUCCACCACCGCCUCCCUCACUGGCCCGCGCCGCCGUCGGCCCCUCACCAGAUCGGCCCGCCACCGCCGCCUCCCUCCCCGGUCGCGCCGCCGCACCAUCCCACCAUCUCCACCCGACACGCUGCCGUCCCGGGUCCCGACCACCUCCGCGGCACUAUCCCAUCACCUCCACCUGACGCGCCGCCGGCCCGGCUGCCCAGUGCAGCCACGACCCCAGCCAACCUUCUCCGGCCUGGCGCCUCCCCACCACUGCCGCUACCCCAUCCCGCCCCCACGGGAGGAAGGGGGACUCACCGUCUACGUGGGAGAAGGCUAGGGAGAUGCCCAGGUCACACGGGCGUCGGCGUUGAGUAGCAGUAGGGCGCCGCCAUCGAAUUUGUCAAUGAGAUGCGGCCCCUUCCCCGUCCAACUGCUACCGUUGCGCUGUCCAACCUCGUCUGUGCGCGUAGUCCAUCCUUGUUCGCUCGCUCGCCAGCAGAGGGGGGCUCCCGCAGCUUCUCCGUUGAGCUCAAUGGACCCCUGACCCAAGCCCAGCAAGCUUCUGGAUGUCUCCUCGGGGAAGAGCAAGUUCCAAAUGCGAAAUUUGGUAAUUUAGGUGGCCGGAAUUCAUGCUUGUGUGCGGCGGGCAGGCAGUUCAAUCUGCUCCAACAAUUCAGUUUUUUUUUUCAAUUUUUCCAUGUGCAUCAGCAAAUGAAUAUGAGUGUGCGUGUCAAACGUGUAUAUAGACAUUGAGAAAGUUCAGUAUUGUUUCGUCUAGUUCGCUCAUGCAGCCAUGCAGAUCAUUUCUUUUCAGGCCAUCCCAGUCCAUCCCCGUAGCGGUAGGAAGGUCGAGCCCAUCGCGAGUUGCAGUCCACGACAGUAACCCGAUUCCGGGGUUUGGAGUUCAUCGACGGCGGAGGAUCCCGGGUGGCGAGCCGGCGUCAUUUUUCUGUGAAAAUUGAAGUUAGGAUGGUUCAGAAAGAAGGAGUACAGGUCAACUUCAUUUGACAUUUGCAAUUCUCAGUACAAAAAGACAGUUCGAGAAAGAAGAAAAAUUGCCGGCUGCUCCUCUUGCUUGAUGUUCAUGUGUUUAGUUCUUUACUGCUUUUUUCUCACUGUUUUGUUCAAAAAGUUUGUGUCUCCACGGACCUACGUGCCGCUGGUGCUCGCUACCCGCAUGAACAAAGAGAGGAAGAAGGUCACCAUCAGGCAGGGGAGAAGGUCACGUGAGGUGCAGAAAGAAGGUCGGAGUUCAGAACGGUGUGUGUGUGUGUGAUUUUUGUGGAGUUCAGAACGGUUUGUGCAGAAAGAAGGUGUGAUUUUUGUGCUGUUUUUUGGGGUGCAUUCCAACAUGGGGAUGCAAUCUCACUUCCGGUGUAUGUUUUUCAUCGCUUGCGUCCCGACCAUA